UAGGGAGAGAUAGGGGGCAUUGUGUUGUUGGUGUUUGUCGGGCUCUUGGUGUGGUUGUUGUGAUUGUGAUAACUGGUAGGGCUUUUCGCUGCUGCGACUCUCUCCACUCUCAAGUCGAUGGGAGAGAGGAUCCCAUGCGGAAGUGGGAAUGGGAGUGGGAGUUAUUUCCAGUUCCCUCCUCCGCCAUCUCCUAUUCGCUCUCCCUCUAUUCCUAUUCCUAUUCCCUCAGAUCGCGAAAGAUACAUGGCUGAACUACUUGCAGAGAGACAGAAAUUGGGACCAUUCGUGCAAGUUUUGCCCCAGUGCACUAAGCUUUUAACUCAAGAAAUCAGACGUAUGUCGGGCUUCAAUCAAGGUUUCAUGGAUCAUGAAAGACUUGAGCCAGACAGUCCAUUUAGGCCCGUCGGUCAACAUCCAAAUAGUAGACCAAUGGAUUUGGAAGGAUGGCCUGCUUUGCCAAUAGAGGACAAAGGAAACCUCCAAAGGAUGGCAUCAUAUCAAGCACCACCAAUGGGUUGGCCCGGGACACAAGGAGUUCCAACUACUCCUAUAGUGAAGAGAGUUAUCAGGCUUGAUGUCCCUGUAGACAAAUAUCCAAAUCAGUAUAAUUUUGUUGGCCGAAUUCUGGGACCUCGUGGGAACUCAUUGAAAAGAGUGGAAGCCAUGACUGAAUGUAGGGUUUACAUCAGAGGCUGUGGCUCUGUGAAGGAUUCUAUUAAGGUAAAGUUGGAAGAAAAGCUUAAAGAUAAACCCGGAUAUGAGCACCUUAAAGAACCAUUGCAUGUUUUGGUGGAGGCAGAGUUUCCAGAGGAUAUAAUCAAUUCUCGCUUGGAUCAUGCAGUGGCAAUACUCGAAAAUCUUUUGAAGCCCGUGGAUGAAUCCCUCGAUCACUAUAAGAAGCAACAAUUGAGGGAAUUGGCUAUGCUCAAUGGUACUUUGAGAGAGGAAAGUCCAAGCAUGAGCCCAAGUAUGAGUCCAAGCAUGUCACCUUUUAACAAUACUGGAAUGAAACGAGCCAAGACAGGAAGAUGACCCCGAUAUGUUAACGGUGGAUCAUACAUUUUUCUCAAGCUAAGUUAUUAGCAUCUGAUCUCAUAGGACUUUGUGAUGGACUUUUCACUGACAUUACUCACCUUUGGGGCUGAAUCUCAUCUCCUCAGGAAGCUCGCUGGGGCUGGGAUGACAGAUGGUUUACGCGCUUGAUUUAAUUUGACGUCUAUUCUUUGGCGUAUUAACCGCGAGAACUUUUGACUGUCGUUUUGCUUAGUUAUGGUAUUAACUGAUUUGCAGUGUGAACUAUGAAAGUGAAGGUAUCGAAGUGGUUCCAUCGUACAAUUAUUUCUGUAUAAGUACAAAGUUAAGCUGGAGAGCAGUUUACUAGUCACAAUUAGAAGGAUAAAGUAUUAUUUCGAACGAGAAUUGCGAGCUUACAAAUGCGAUGGAAAAAGCAGCAUUUUCGCUUUCUUUGACGAGGGAUGCUGUAAUUUUGAUACUGUUAAUAUUUGUAAUUGAAAUACAAGUUGGCCGAAAUUAAUUGUAGCGUGUGCAUCAUUGCUGCUGCUCAUUAAGACGAGUCUAGAAAAAUACUGGAUUAUACUAAUUUACGGUAUCUAUCAGACAACAAUGACUACGAGUGUCUUAUAUCUACCAAAUACCUAAUAUGGGUAGCAGGUUGCCAAUAAAAUAAUCUACC